GAUGAACGCUAGCGGCAUGCCUUACACAUGCAAGUCGAACGGCAGCACGGGAGCAAUCCUGGUGGCGAGUGGCGAACGGGUGAGUAAAGUAUCGGAACGUGCCCAGUCGUGGGGGAUAACGUAGCGAAAGUUACGCUAAUACCGCAUACGAUCUAUGGAUGAAAGCGGGGGAUCGCAAGACCUCGCGCGAUUGGAGCGGCCGAUAUCAGAUUAGGUAGUUGGUGGGGUAAAGGCUCACCAAGCCGACGAUCUGUAGCUGGUCUGAGAGGACGACCAGCCAGACUGGGACUGAGACACGGCCCAGACUCCUACGGGAGGCAGCAGUGGGGAAUUUUGGACAAUGGGCGCAAGCCUGAUCCAGCCAUGCCGCGUGCAGGAUGAAGGCCUUCGGGUUGUAAACUGCUUUUGUACGGAACGAAAAGGUUUGACUUAAUACGUUGGACUCAUGACGGUACCGUAAGAAUAAGCACCGGCUAACUACGUGCCAGCAGCCGCCGUAAAAC
rnacentral:rRNA from 1 species